AGAUCGAGGAGCUGCUGUAUUAUGGCUUGGGUUUAAACAGGGCUCUUUCACACGCUUCAAGCUUCUCCUCCAUCAUCCAUCUCCCACACGGAUCCACUGAUCAGCUCCACCAUUAAAACCAACCACAAUUAAUCUGAUUAUCUGAUUAUAAUUAAAUCUCCUGCUAGGAAACCUUCGGUCCGGGUGUUCAUGUUGGAGCUACUUUGACUCAUACCUCCCACCCAAAUAUUACUACAGACUCAGCAGAACAGUACAUCCUGCUGCACUGCAGGAACUGCUGAGGAUUGGCUAGACGAACACGACAAAGAGACAGAGUAGUGGUCUGACUCACUGGAAGUAGGCUGACGGUAAGAACCUGGUACGGGCCGCUCAUUUUAGGAAGGUUUCUACUCCUCUCCUCCUCCACAACAACCUCGAAGGACUGCUGAGGAACGGAAUCCUAUUGUUUGUUAGUGGAUUAUCCAUUUAAAUGAACUUCUCCCACGCAAAUGUUGCACCAAAUGUCAUGAUCCCUCCUUUCUCUGUACUGUGCUCCUGACCAGAUGACAGCCCAGGCUGAUCAGGCACAGCUGCUAAAGGAGCACAACUGUGCCUGAUCAGCAAUCAGUGGCAGUUAAAGCCUGGCUGCCCCAGCAGCUGCUGCUGGUUCAUGGUCUCUGCUGGCUCCCUGCUAGCUGCUCUGCCCAGGUCUGCAUUGGUUCCGGUCUGUCGCCCUCCCACUUGAACUUUUCGGACUUUUCCGCCGGUCUGUCCACUCUCUACACGGGUCAGUCUGCUGGUUCCUCGGAUCGUUGAGUGAGGAACUCCGCUCCUUACCCCCCGUGGCUGGCAUGGGUUCAUUGUUCUGGAUCGCUGUGAUUCCCGGUCCCGUCUGUUCCGCUCUGCUGGUGGCAUGUUCGUCAUUUAUCAGGGAGAGACAGCAGCAGGAUGAGCUAUGGGAAGAAGACCAGCUGGUGGAGGCAGUCUGAUGCUCUGGAGAAUGUUCUGCUGGGAAACCUUGGGUCCUGGUGUUCGUUUGGAUGUUACUUCAACAUGUUCCACCUCCUAAAGGUUGCUGCAGACCACCCAGCCAUAGUGAUGGUACUCCCUGACCUCUUUCAGCAGGAUAAAGCUCUGUGCUGCACGGUAAACAUUGUUCAGGAACAUGAGAAGGAGUUCAAGGUGUUUGCUCAGCCUCCACUUUCCUCACAUCUCCAUCCAACAAGUCGGAUCCAUGCAGGACCGACCUGAACUUGAAGGAUCUGCUGCUACCAUCAUACUACAGGACACCUUCCCAGGUGUGGUGGAGGAGGAUCUAUCUACAACAGGGAGGUGGUUUUAAUCUAGUGGCUGAUGGAUCUAUGUUCUGUUGUCAGUUUUGUUGUUGUCAUUUUGAUUAUAAAGUAAAAUACGUGAUCAUUCAGUUCCAGAUAACUGUGACUAAAUUUUUUGCGAAUGUACUUUUUUCACUAAA